rnacentral:rRNA from 1 species
GGAAUAUUGCACAAUGGGCGAAAGCCUGAUGCAGCAACGCCGCGUGAGUGAUCAAGGCCUUCGGGUCGUAAAACUCUGUCCUCAAGGAAGAUAAUGACGGUACUUGAGGAGGAAGCCCCGGCUAACUACGUGCCAGCAGCCGCGGUAAUACGUAGGGGGCUAGCGUUAUCCGGAUUUACUGGGCGUAAAGGGUGCGUAGGCGGUCUUUCAAGUCAGGAGUGAAAGGCUACGGCUCAACCGUAGUAAGCUCUUGAAACUGGGAGACUUGAGUGCAGGAGAGGAGAGUGGAAUUCCUAGUGUAGCGGUGAAAUGCGUAGAUAUUAGGAGGAACAUCGGUGGCGAAGGCGGCUUACUGGACUAUAACAGACACUGAGGCUCGAAAGCGUGGGGAGCGAACA